AUCACUGGCUCCAUCUCUACAGAGAACAAAACUCCAGUGGGGCAUGGUGCUGGCACAGAGGGUCUCAGCCUCUGGACAAUGAACAUAUCCUAAUGGGAGCGUUCUGACCAAGGGACUGAGGGGACUUCAAGUUCAAGACAUCAGAUAUUUCUCCUCACUGCUGCCAUCAUCUAUGCACUGACAUGCACAGCCUUCCCUACCCGGUCCUCCAUACAGUUUCGGAACCCCGACGUGGCCCUCAGGCCAAAAAGUUUGCUCACCCUUGGUUUAUAGAGUGUUUGUAACCCUGUAUGUACUUGAGUGACAAGCUGUCGGGUCUUGUAAGGAAGUACAGAGCUAUUCUUCUGACUCAUCCGGGAAAUCAGAUCAUUAGCUCCAUUCAGGAAUAUAAAGGACUCUUUGCUGUACUACUGAUUGAUCUCUUUAUCUCAGAGAAGCCCUUGAAAUUGCCAGAGUACAUUCUCCUCCGUGAAACAAACCAUCUCCCACCUUCAGUAAUGCCCCCGGUAGAUGAGGGUUUGUCUACCAGCUUUGUAUCAGCUACUGCAGGCCCAACCAGCAAUCCAUCUGACUGAUGCACUCACUUUACUGAGCUGCCUGCAGUUGCUGGCUGGGGAGUGGCCCAGCCAGAGUGGGGGUAGCGGGACACUGUUGGGGGACAUAGUGGGUGUGUGGGUCAGUGAUGCAUAGCUGGCAAUCCAGGUGAGGACCUGCAGACCGGGAGAAGAGGGUUUGUAAAUGAGGGGUGGGGAUUUAGAAGGGGAUAUCCAUGAUCUAAAGGGAUACACUGGCUGAGGGAGCUGUCAGAGCUAAGAGCUAUCAAGGAAGACAGCAGUCAGAGUUCACACCAUCUAUUGUGAAAGUGUUUCCCACCUAAAGUAGCACCCAGUUUAUUAAGCUUCCACUGACUAUUUACCCCUACACAUUUCAGGAGGUAACGCCAGUCACUUCUGGCCUUCCACUCAGCAUUUUUGCACGUGGACAUAAGGUGCUUUUCAAACAGUUGAGGGUCAUUACAACCAAUGGCUCUCGGUAACACAGACAAGAGAGAGACAGAAGAAGGUCCUGGAGGGAGAAAUCCUAGUCAACUUGCUCAAGAAAGAGCUUAGGUUUGAAAGUACAGUCCUGUUUUAGGGCUUUGUUAUUUUAAAUUAAAUAAAGGCAAAUCAGUUAGGCAAUAUCUGUUGUGUGUAUGCUGUGGUCAAGAACUGGGUAGAAAUACCACCUAUUUAUAGGUUUCCUCAUAGCAAGGAUUUCUGAGGGUUCUUUAGACAGAUACGGAGAACAAAGCGCAUGAAGCAGCAAUAGAAACUGAUGUUUUAUGGCAAUUAUUAUUGGUUUUAGACAAAACCAAGAGAACAUUUGAGCUAUGUAAUAUUCAGACGCUUACCAUUCAUGUAUUUGGUUGCUGAAUACAUACAAAUAUCUGCCCCAAGAGACAAAGGACGCUAAAAUGGAACAAACAUAGAAGAUCUGAUUUAACAUUCUUUCACCAUUUUCAAUCACAAACUACUCUCACCUCAUCCCACAAAAAGCAGAAAUUUGGUGAUCAAAAAACCAAAGACUCAGGUAACAGACACACAGGCUGGGAGUUUCAAAAGUACGUCUAUCUCCUACUGACUUCAGUGGGAGAAGAGUUAAGGCAAUGCAAAGCACUUCUCAAAAUCCUACCCCUAGUUUUUAAAAUUAUUUUAUUUCCAUUUACAGACUGCACCUACCAGAUGGCUUAUAGGCAUGUACAGAAUAGUAACCACUUCAACAUGCUUACAACCUAAUCAAUGCUAACUGCACAUACAAAAUAACUUGCCCUACCACUCAAAACCCUGAGCCUCUUCAAAGAAAGGCCCAGGUAACCAAGCCAAUUUGUUCAUUGCAUUUUUUUUACAUUUGUGUCUGGAUUUGUCUUUCACCUUAAUGACACUGCCACAGGAAAAUCGAAGAGUUUAGAGCAGGAGCAACUGACAAACAGAAUUCUUCACAUUUGCUUAAGUUUUCAAAUUGCUCUUCUAAGGAAAGAGUGAUUGGCAGUGACAAGAGAAACAGCUGCUUUCUCUAAAAAUGAUCUGAUUUUACAUCAGUCACUAAAUUAUAGACUGCAAAUUAUUACUCUUUAACACUUAUACUGUGUUUGUUCAGUGUGUUAAAAGGCCAAUGUAGUUAAUAGAUUCAGAACAAAAAGGUAGAAAAAUCUUGCUGUCAGACUAUGUACAGAAGUUUGUAUGGUCUUGCUGUCAUCUCUCAAUAGUGGAAUAGUAAUUAAAGCACUAGUGCUUUCUUCAAUAUGUAACAUAUUAAAGUAAUAAUAAAUUCAUGGGGAUAGUUAUCCUCUUAGCCGUGUGUCCCAGUAGCAACCUUCAAGUGUUUAAUACAUUACCUUUUAAUACUUGUCAGACAAUCCUACAGAGUUAAUCAUUGAAAUAGAUUUUCUCUCUUGUGAUCAAGUUAACAGACAUACUAACUAGACAAGUUAUUGCAUAUAUUGCUCCUUCAACACAUUUCCAUAUUGAGUCUUGCAGAAGCAACUCAGAGCCAAAUUAGAAAAAAGAUCACUAAACUUUUUUCAAACUAGGGCCCCAAUUCAGCAAAGCACACACUUAAAUUUUAAGUACUUGCUUAUAUGCUUUGAUGAACCAGUGCCUUAAAAGGAAGAAUGAGGUAUUACCUUGACAAUGCCAAAAUCUUACAACUUUGUAUUUGUGCCGAUCUACUUUAAUCACAUACAAAUUCUUUAUUUUGUAGCGCCUCCUAAAUUUAUGAAGAAAUUAAAAAGCAAACCAAACACGACAAUUCCUGUUCCCAAAAUGUAGUAAAUUAAUCUAAUUUUCAUUAAAUCAGAUAAGUGUAUGUGUGAGUCUUGGCAUGAACUGGAAACUAUACUUUGUCUGAAUCUUAUUCACUAUACUUCAGAAUUUUUUAACUUGAAAAAGUAUUACCUGCUGCACAAAUGGAAAAAAUAGGGGAGCUUUCUGUGGCCAAAAUAACAAGCUCUAAAUUACCACAAAUAAUAACUAAAGAUUGUGUAGCUGAGAGGUUAAAGUGUUUUUUCCAUAUUUCGAAGAUGCUGCGUUCAAAUAC